rnacentral:lncRNA from 1 species
UAGGCAAUGAUCCAAUUAAAUUUUUUAUUUUUUUAAAAUAAAUUAACUAGUGAUACCACAGUAACAGUAAUCAUAGACACUAAUAAAAUCUCAAUAACUACUAACACUAUGGUGUCAUAAUAUCGGUGAUACUGUAGUAAUAGUAAUCACUGACACCACUUACAAGUGUCACUAUUUUUCUGACUCCCAGAUUACUGACACAAUUAACAAGUGUCAGUGAAAGUAAUUUCUGACACUAUUCUAAAGUCAGUAAAGACCAUUUUUCUAGUAGUGAGAGCUCCUUUGGCCAAUGUGAGUACAGUAGUUUGAGUUUCCAUACUCAAUUUCUCUCCCAACUGAAGAAUAAUUGAGUGGAAGCAGCAUUUUUCUUUAUAAAAUGUAUGAAAUGUGACGGAGUAAACAUCCCUCAAUUAUUAGUGAGAGAAGAAAAUUUAUAUAAUACUUCAUAAAAUUUAACAUAAACUAGUUUCUAUAAUAAUCUAACUAUAAAUAUAAAUAGCUGUACAAUUGAAAUAUCAGUAUAAAAGAAAAAAAGGGUAACGAAUGAAGACCCAAAAUACAAACUUGAUAAUUUACUGUAUGGUUGACCAAUGCAAAGACAUUUUGUCUUUCUAGUUCUAGGCCAUGGAAUAUACAACUUAGGUUGGGUAAGGAAUGUCAUGCGUCGACUAAUCCAAAUCCCGAUAACAGUGCGCUCCACCUCCACGUCCAUUUUGUGCUUCAUGCCAAUAUAUAUAUAUAUAGUCAAAAGUCUUGGCAAUUUUCUUCACUGCUUUUGGUUGGGAUUUGUAACCGAAUCUGCCUAUGUAUUAACCGAGAUGGUAAAAACCUCAACGUCCGUUUUUUAUUCUAAAUUACUGCAUAUAGAGGGUUUAUUCAACUUACAAAUAUGCUUCUGAGCAUGCAUCUUGGUUAUGACUAUUUUGCCUCCAAACAAAAUGUUGCUCCAUGCUUGCAUGUUGGUGAUUAUCCGCUGAAGUACUCUUCGUAAAUGUACAUGCGUACAAAAUCUCCAUUUUCUUUUUUUAGUUUUAAGUUCAAGAACUUCAAUCUUAAGAUUAUAAAUCAUGCCUUUCUUUUUUUACUAUAAAUUUUUUCAAUAAGAAACAUCAAACCAACAUUUUUUUCCUUCAUUCAAUACAGUUGCAUAUUCUUUCGAUAUGAAUUUAAUUAGUUGCGUUUCAAGAAUAUUUUACAUAAGUGGUUAUCAUAAAUAAUGAAUGAUAACUAAAAAUUAAUUUUUUUAAUUUUUUUGUCAACAGAAACAAUCAUGCGUGGUGGAAACCCGGCCCAGUUAUUCCAUAUAAAUAAAAAUGUAUGUUUUCUAUUUUCUCUUUAAGGUUAAACUUCUACUACUGGCUAAUUAUGGUUGGUUAAAAUUAUACUCUUUUUUAAGAGUAAUUAUAUGAUAGUCCACAUGGAUUUUACUUAAGCUACGAGAGAGACAUCACAGAGUGGUUCAUUAAUAGGGGUGGGCUACAUUAUUAUGUUAAUUUUAGGUAUUUUCCAGACUUAGUGAGGGAUUAAUGUCAUUUGCACAAACUAAAUGGGGUCCAAAGUGUCGGUCAAGCUGCAUGCAUGCUAGCUGAUUCUUGCUCUGAGUAAGUAGGUCUUUAGAAAGUGAUUGUUUUGAUCAAUAAAGCAUGCUCAAGUAUGCGACCUUUUCACAUGCAACCCAACUUACUACUUGCCUUUCCUUUACCCCAUUUGAAGGUCUCUAAUUCUAACGUGCAAGAUGGAUGUUUCAAACUUCAUAAAAUAUUAGUAAAAUAAUUAAGAAAAGUUACUUCCUAGAAUUGAAUAUAUUAAAAAGGAUACCUUUGAGUUUGAAAAGCUGAAGUAGGAUUGUGGAACAUAUCAUUAUAUUUUGGCGUAAAAUGUAUGCAUAUGCACAUGGCUUAGAUAAUGACAUCCCAUAGUAUUUGUGUAUUUAUAGGGUAACAUGACCUUUUUAUGUAUUUGAAAAAGAAUGAGAGAAUUAAAGUGAUGAUCAAAUGUACACACAUAUAUAUAUUGUGUACGUUAUAAUUCUAAUAGAAGAAAAUAUUGUAAAACUUAUUAUACAUUUGUAAAGAUAAAGCGUCGGAAAAUUAUGCUAAAAUAAUUGUAUUGGGAUGAUGGGUACUGACAAUGGAAAGAUCAUGCGAAUGAUAUGUGUGAUCAUUUAUGUUUCAAGCAAUCAUAUGGUGCAAGUUAUUAUUCUAUUAAAAGCCUUUUUGAAGUUUGGAUAAAGUUAUUGAGAAGCAUUCAUUCUCAUGAUUCUAGAGAUUGAUUUCAUUAAUACGUGAUUCAUCUGUGUAACAAAAUCAUUUUGGACUCAAAAGUUUGCAGUUUUUCUCCUUUUUUUCUCUGUGGCUAUCUGUAUUAGAAUUAAUUGUUGGAGAAGUGGAAGACUGAAAAAAUCAAUUGAAAUUAGAAAUUGAAAUCCUAAAUUAUCAUUAUGUUACACAACUUAUGGUUGUUUUUUUUUUUUUAUCCCUUUUUACACAAGCCAUCUAACUCUGUUCCAAUUAACAAACACAAUUUAAAGAACUUCUGAAGGAGAAUUGAUCCAUUGCCACCGACUGCACUAUCCUCCUUAGGAAUAAUAUAUGUAACUGCACUUUCAAGAUUGCAUGUGAAAAUCUUUGUAUUAUAUAUGAUAACUAUAAUUCUGAUUAUGAUUAGAAGGUGUAUUUAGCUAUAAAUCAAAUAAAGUAGAUCUAUUGAAAAACAAAGACUGUGAGAAAGUUAUUCAAGAAGAACUUGCCAAUUAUGGCUAUCAAGUUCCUCAUGAUCAUGCCAAUUAUUAUUACGUAAUACAUGCACUGUGUAGCUCUAUAUAUGUAUUAAAAGUGCUAUCAUUAUAAUCAACACUCAACUACCCAAAAAAUAUUAAUUAAGAACAUCUUUCAAGAAUUGUGUUUGUUGACUGAAAAUUAACAGGAUGCAAGGACAAAACUGAAAUUAAAUAUAUAUUUAAGAGAUUAAUUUGUCAUCGUAAGACCUAAUAAACUAAGAGAAACAUGAACAUUAAUAAUUACUUGAGUAUACAAGCAUGAUAGUCAUUGAUUGUUUAUGGGAUGCAUGUAUAUCUCUGUAUCCUUUCAUAAUUACUAAGAAAAGUACGUUUUUAAACGUGCUACUUUGUCUAUCUUUCUUAAUAAUAUGAUUUUUAAUCCUUGGGAUACAUAUUGAGAUAAGAGAGGUGUUGAAUUCUAUGUUUUUAAUAUGUAGUUAAAAGAAAAUUUUUCAGUUCAGACUUCUAACCAAGGACUAAAAUUUGGGAGGAGUUGACAUUGGUAUUAACAUAUUUUUAUAAUGUUGCCAAACAGUUUGCAAUGAUAUAAAAAUAUAUUCACAUUAUUAUCAAUCGAUCCUAAACUUUAAUUGAGUUCAAGGUCCUACAAUAGAUAACCACUCUACAGUUAUAUAUAUA